UGGUUAUAGCUAGGGGUGUCA
rnacentral:siRNA from 1 species